GACGAACGCUGGCGGCGUGCUUAACACAUGCAAGUCGAACGAAGAGCGAUGGAAGCUUGCUUCUAUCAAUCUUAGUGGCGAACGGGUGAGUAACGCGUAAUCAACCUGCCCUUCAGAGGGGGACAACAGUUGGAAACGACUGCUAAUACCGCAUACGAUCUAACCUCGGCAUCGAGGAUAGAUGAAAGGUGGCCUCUACAUGUAAGCUAUCACUGAAGGAGGGGAUUGCGUCUGAUUAGCUAGUUGGAGGGGUAACGGCCCACCAAGGCGAUGAUCAGUAGCCGGUCUGAGAGGAUGAACGGCCACAUUGGGACUGAGACACGGCCCAGACUCCUACGGGAGGCAGCAGUGGGGAAUCUUCCGCAAUGGACGAAAGUCUGACGGAGCAACGCCGCGUGAGUGAUGACGGCCUUCGGGUUGUAAAGCUCUGUUAAUCGGGACGAAAGGCCUUCUUGCGAAUAGUGAGAAGGAUUGACGGUACCGGAAGAGAAAGCCACGGCUAACUACGUG
rnacentral:rRNA from 1 species